rnacentral:sRNA from 1 species
GUAACGGCGAGUGAAGCGGCAUCAGCUUCAAAUUUGAAAUCUGGCUCUUUCAGGGUCCGAGUUGUAAUUUGCAGAGGGCGCUUUGGCGUUGGCAGCGGUCCAAGUUCCUUGGAACAGGACGUCACAGAGGGUGAGAAUCCCGUACGUGGUCGCUGGCCUUCGCCGUGUAAAGCCCCUUCGACGAGUCGAGUUGUUUGGGAAUGCAGCUCUAAAUGGGAGGUAAAUUUCUUCUAAAGCUAAAUACUGGCCAGAGACCGAUAGCGCACAAGUAGAGUGAUCGAAAGAUGAAAAGCACUUUGGAAAGAGAGUCAAAUAGCACGUGAAAUUGUUGAAAGGGAAGCGCUUGCAGCCAGACUUGCCUGUAGUUGCUCAUCCGGGCUUUUGCCCGGUGCACUCUUCUGCGGGCAGGCCAGCAUCAGUCUGGGCGGUUGGAUAAAGGUCUCUGUCAUGUACCUCCUCUCGGGGAGGCCUUAUAGGGGAGGCGUAAUGCAACCAGCCUGGACUGAGGUCCGCGCAUCUGCUAGGAUGCUGGCGUAAUGGCUGUAAGCGGCCCGUCUUGAAACACGGACCAAGGAGUCUAACAUCUAUGCGAGUGUUUGGGUGUCAAGCCCGAGCGCGUAAUGAAAGUGAACGGAGGUGGGAUCCCUUUAGGGUGCACCAUCGACCGAUCCUGAUGUCUUCGGAUGGAUUUGAGUAAGAGCAUGGCUGUUGGGACCCGAAAGAUGGUGAACUAUGCUUGAAUAGGGUGAAGCCAGAGGAAACUCUGGUGGAGGCUCGCAGCGGUUCUGACGUGCAAAUCGAUCGUCAAAUUUGGGCAUAGGGGCGAAAGACUAAU